rnacentral:rRNA from 1 species
AUGGUGAUACUAUGCGAGCUUGCGAUGUACUUCCCGCCCGCAUUCUUCGACGUUAUGGUGCAUCUGCUGGUCCAUAUCAUGGAGGAUAUCAUCCAACUCAGGUCGACGUUCCUGCACAGCAUGAUGCCGUUCGAAAGGAUGAAUGGUGUCAUCAAAGGAUACGUUCGCAACAUGUCACAUCCAGAGGGAAGCAUGGCUAGGGGCUUUCUGACCGAAGAGUGCAUCUCCUACUGCACGAAUUAUCUAGGCAUCGAGAACCCCAUUGGUCUGCCCGUCAACAGGCACCUCGACAGGCUCGCUGGAUGGGGUCACCGUAAGGGUCGCCGCGAAAUGCAUGUCGACUUCAAGGGUCGACUCGCCGACUUUGAAAGAGCAAACCUAGUCGCGCUACAACACAUAGACGUGGUCGAUCCUAGGGUCGUAGAGCACAAAACCUUUAUUGAGAAGACGUACAAUGACCGAGGCCCACAGAGGACGGACAGAGAUAUAAUCAAAGAGCACAACUCAUGUUUCACGCGUUGGUUCAAGAAGAAGCUUCUGUCAUACCCUUUACAUGAGGAUUCUUCCGCGGAAGAACAACUCAUAUUCGCCUUGUCACAGGGCGCCGAGCACAACCUGAUGACCUAUGAGGCGUACGAUAUCAAUGGCUACACAUUCUACACCGAGGACAAGGACAUGAAGAGCGAUGGUUAUGAGAACUCCGGGGUAACAAUGGAAUCCUACACCGGUAACGACAAGGACAAAUACUACGAAAGGAUCGAGGAGAUCUGGGAGCUGAGCUACGCUGGAGAGAAGGUCCCGAUGUUCCGUGUCAGAUGGGCCAAGAGCGUCCUAAAAGAAGACCAGUAUUUCACCACCAUGGUUAUACCCGAAGCCAAAUCCAAGACCGCGGGCGCAAACGUCACCGUGAAAAAUGAGCCAUGGGUACUGGCUUCCCAAGUGGACCAAUGCUUCUUCAUUACCGACCCAUCAAAGCCCAGUCGUGUUGUUGUGAGGAGAGGCAAAAGGAAGAUCAUCGGAAUGGAUGGAGUCGCCAAUGAGAAAGACUUCGACAAGAACGGCGACCCGAAGAUGGAACAUGACGAUGACGAUGAAGUAGCAGCAUACACCACAAGAAGAAGCAGGACCACCCUACCUAAAGGACGUCCGUUCCACAAAAGAACUCCAUUUGCGAAAAAGAAGGGCAAGAGAUUGUGA